GCGCCACUAGCUCAGUUGGUAGAGCAGCUGACUCUUAAUCAGCGGGUCCAGAGUUCGAGUCUCUGGUGGCGCACCA
rnacentral:tRNA from 1 species